rnacentral:tRNA from 1 species
GCGAGAGUGGCGGAACUGGUAGACGCGCUGGACUUAGGAUCCAGUGGGGAAACCCGUGCGAGUUCGAGUCUCGCCUUUCGCACCA